rnacentral:rRNA from 1 species
AACGCGAAGAACCUUACCAGGUCUUGACAUCCCUCUGAAUCCUCUAGAGAUAGAGGCGGCCUUCGGGACAGAGGAGACAGGUGGUGCAUGGUUGUCGUCAGCUCGUGUCGUGAGAUGUUGGGUUAAGUCCCGCAACGAGCGCAACCCUUGACUUUAGUUGCCAGCAGGUAAAGCUGGGCACUCUAGAGUGACUGCCGGUGACAAACCGGAGGAAGGUGGGGAUGACGUCAAAUCAUCAUGCCCCUUAUGACCUGGGCUACACACGUACUACAAUGGCCGGUACAACGGGAAGCGAAGCCGCGAGGUGGAGCCAAUCCCAGCAAAGCCGGUCUCAGUUCGGAUUGCAGGCUGCAACUCGCCUGCAUGAAGUCGGAAUUGCUAGUAAUCGCGGAUCAGCAUGCCGCGGUGUU